rnacentral:lncRNA from 1 species
UUUUUUUUUUUGAAAGAUGGAGUUCACGUCCAUUUCCUUUUUUAAUGGCAGAAGUAAUGAACUAAAAAAAAAAAAAAAAAAUCCCAAAUCGACAGUUUAUCUUAGACAACAAUCUUCAUGAUCAGUUACAGGAAAUGAAUGACCACAAUACUGAGGAAAUUUUUGGGUAUCAACCCUUUUCUUUAAAAAAAAAAUUAUUAUUGUUGAAUUACAGUGUUUUCAAUUUCUGCUGUACAGUAAAGUGACCCAGUUAUACAUUUAUAGACAUUCUUUUUCUGAUAUUAUCCUCCAUUAUGUUCCAGCAUAAGUGACUAGGUAUAGUUGCCUGCGCUAUACAGCAGGAUCUCAUUGCUUAUCCACUCCAAAUGCAAUAGUUUGCAUCUACCAACCCUAAACGCCCAGUCCAUCCCCCUUCCUCGCCCUCCCCCUGGAAACCACAAGUCUGUUCUCCAAGUCCAUGAGUUUCUUUUCUGUAGACAGGUUUAUCUGUGCUGUAUAUUAGAUCCAGAUAUAAAUACCACAUAGUAUUUGUCUUUCUCUUUCUGACUUACUUCAGGGCCAGGGAUCAAACCCACAUCCUAAUGGAUGCCAGUCGGGUUCGUUAACUGCUGAGCCAUGAUGGGAACUCCACCUUUUAUUGUUUUUAUCUUUUAUUUUAUUUUGCUUUGUAAAGCCACACGUGCGGCAUGUGGAAGUUCCCAGGCUAGGAGUCCAAUUGGAGCUGUAGCCGCUGGCCUGUGCCACAGCCACAGCUAAGUGGGAUUGGAGCCACGUCUGCAACCUACAGCACAGCUCACGGCAAUGCCUGAUCCUUAAUCCACUGAGGGAGGCCAGGGAUCAAACCUGUCUCCUCAUGGAUCCUAGUUGGAUUUGUUUCUACUGCACCAUGAAGGGAACUCAUAAACUUCAGAUUUUUCAAAGUUAUCUGGAAUGUAAUAGGUUGUGAGGUCCAGAAUUUUUUGCCUGGUAGCAUUUAUUCACGGACAUAGGACAAGGUGUUUUAUUACUGUUUCAAAUGAAACAAGAAAUCAUGAAUUAUUUUUCCCAAAAGGAAACUUAGCAGAAUAGUAAUUUGAUACAACAGAAUUGUACCAGCUUACUGAUUUUUUUUUUAAUACACUGAAUGAGUUCAGUUUGGCCGUGUGAGAUGCCGCAUCACCAUGCUUACCCUUGUUGAUAACCUGUCACCAGUUAAGUUGAAACUUAAAAUUGUGACUCAAGUCACAAAACAUUUAUUUUACUGUGUUCAAACUUUGAACCACAGUUACGGAGAUGUAUGAGGUUUUUUUUUUAAAUGAUAUUGAAUGGCUAUUAUCAAAAAGAACACAGAUAUAUUUUAGCAAGGAUGUGGAGAAAAGGGAACCCUCCUAUACUGUUGGUGAGAAUGUAAAUUGGUGUAUCCACUAUGAAAAACAAUGUGGCAGUUUCUUAAAAAACUAAAAAUAGAACUACCAUAUGACCCAUGGGUAUCCAUUUAAAAAACAAAAACUCUAAUUCAAAAAGAUACAUGCACUCCAAUGUUCAUAGCAGCAUUAUUUACAAUUGCCAAGAUAUGGAAGCAAUCUAUAUAUCAACAGAUGAAUGGAUAAAGAAGAUGUGGGAUAUACACACAAUGGAAUAUUACUGAGCCAUAAAAAAAGAAUGAGAUUUUGCCAUUUGCAGGAACAUGUUUGGACUCAGAGGGCAUUAUGCUAGGUGAAAUAAGUUAGACAGAUAAAGACAAACAUUGUAUGAUAUUACUUAUAUGUGGAAUCUGAAAAAUACAACUAACGAGUAUAACAAAAAAAAAGCAGACUCUCAUAUAUUGAGAACAAACUAGUGGUUACUAGGGCAGGCAGGGGAGUGGAGAGGAGCAAUAUAGGGGCAGGAUACAAAUUAUUAGGUAUAAAAUAAGCUACAAGGAUAUAUUGUACAACACAGGGAAUAUAGCCAAUAGUUUAUGCUAACUAUAAAUGGAAUAUAACUUUUAAAUAUUGUGAAUUACUAUGUUGUACACCUGUAAUUCUAUGAUAUUAUACAUCAACUAUCUUCAAUUAAAAUCAAUCAAUGGGGGAGUUUCCAUUGUGGCUCAGUGGUAAUGAACCCGGCUAAUAUCCAUGAGGACACAGCUUCCAUCCCUGGCCUCACUCAGUGGGUUAAGGAUUUGAUGUUGCCAUGAGCUCUGGUGUAGGUUGCUGAUAUGGGUCAGAUGUGGCAUUGCUGUGGCUGUGGUGUAGGCUGGCCAGGGAACUUCCAUAUACCACAGGUGCAGCCCUAAAAAGACAAUAAAUAAAUGAAUAAAUGGGAGUUCCCAUUAUGGCUCACCAGGUUAAGAACCCGACUAGUAUCCAUGAGGAUGCGUGUACAAUCCCUGGUGUCUUUCAGUGCAUUAAGGAUCCAGCAUUGCCACAAGCUGCAGCAUAGGUCAAAGAUUCGGCUCAGAUCUGGCAUUGCUGUGGCUCUGAUUUGACCUCUAGCCCGAGGUCUUCCAUCUGCCAUAUGCCACCUGCUUAGGGUGCGGCC